rnacentral:rRNA from 1 species
UGGGUAUAAUACCCGAUAGGUCUCGAUUGCUGGAAUGCAUCGAGAUUUAAAGCUCCGGCGCCUAAGGAUGGGUCUGCGGCCUAUCAGGUAGUAGUGGGUGUAGCGUACCUACUAGCCUACGACGGGUACGGGUUGUGAGAGCAAGAGCCCGGAGAUGGAUUCUGAGACACGAAUCCAGGCCCUACGGGGUGCAGCAGGCGCGAAAACUUUACAAUGCUGGCAACAGCGAUAAGGGAACCUCGAGUGCCAGGUUACAAAUCUGGCUGUCGAGAUGCCUAAAAAGCAUUUCAUAGCAAGGGCCGGGCAAGACCGGUGCCAGCCGCCGCGGUAACACCGGCGGCUCGAGUGGUAACCGUUAUUAUUGGGUCUAAAGGGUCUGUAGCCGGCCGGAUAAGUCUCUUGAGAAAUCUGGCAGCUUAACUGUCAGGCUUUCAGGAGAUACUGUCUGGCUCGAGGCCGGGAGAGGUGAGAGGUACUUCGGGGGUAGGGGUGAAAUCUUGUAAUCCUUGAAGGACCACCAGUGGCGAAGGCGUCUCACCAGAACGGACCUGACGGCAAGGGACGAAAGCUAGGGGCACGAACCGGAUUAGAUACCCGGGUAGUCCUAGCGUAAACGAUACUCGCUAGGUGUCGGCCACGGUGCGACCGUUGUCGGUGCCGUAGGGAAGCCGUGAAGCGAGCCACCUGGGUAGUACGCCGCAAGCUGAAACUUAAAGGAGUUGGCGGGGG